UACGUAGGCAGCGAGCGUUGUUCGGAGUUACUGGGCGUAAAGAGUGCGUAGGCGGUUUUCUAAGUUUGGUGUGAAAUCUCCCGGCUUAACUGGGAGGGUGCGCCGAAGACUGGAAGGCUUGAGUAUGGGAGAGGUAAGCGGAAUUCCUGGUGUAGCGGUGAAAUGCGUAGAUAUCAGGAGGAACACCAAUGGCGAAGGCAGCUCGCUGGGACGGUACUGACGCUGAGACGCGAAAGCGUGGGGAGCAAACAGG
rnacentral:rRNA from 1 species